GGAAUAAAGAGUAAUGGAGUGUGUGCGUCCAUCCAGCAAGCCUCCUUAGGGUGAUAUUCCAUCCUGAAGUCUGAUGGCUAACUGCCGUAAGGUUACUUCCAUAUUGGGGACAGGAAGCUACCAUAGAAUGUAUUUUGGUCCCUGUCAAAUACGUAUAGUUGCUGCCAUGUGCUCUGUUAUUUGGAUGGUGGCAAAGACCAUGCACAUGAAAAUAACAAGGUUAUGUGAAGAAGAACCCCUGACUUGUAAAAUUUAAUCAACAUCAUUCUGGCUGAAUAGGAGCUGCAUUCCUGAUGGUGCAUCUGCCAAGAAGACUGAAACUCCCUUGCUGAAUUUUGAUUUUUAUCUAACAAUAAUUUCAACUUUUUUGCAGGAAUGUAGAACCAAUGUUUUCAAUGUGGCAAAGAUAUUAGGCAUAUUGGAACUUAGAAAAUUUGCACAGUGUAUUGAGCCAUUGAUGCAUCGGUGAAAAAAAUUAUUUCACAGUAGUACAUUCCAGACAAAAGUAGCACUAGAAUAUCAAAAAUGAGUAAGUGUUAUAAUUUUAUGAAAUGAGGAUUUGGUUCACAUUAGUUUACUGAUUGUUAGUCUAAUCUUUGCCACAUAGUGGAAUUUGUGCUUACAUAAAAUUUAAUUUCAACAUCGUAUUUAAAAUGGCUUUUGAAAUCUUGAUUAAGUGGUAUAUAUCUGUGGUGAAUUGGGGUGUGUUUUGGCCAUAAAUUCCCAUGUAAUUAAGUGAUGUAAAGUGCUUGAAAGUUGAAUGCUCUAAUGUGAACUGUAGAGAAUUUGUAAUGCCAUGCUUUGUACGUAAUCCAUUUAUUUUGUAUGUACACUAGUUGCAUUUGAGUGGUACAUGAUAUACAGUUCUUGAUAAAUUGUUUGAAUAUGGUUUUGGUCAAGAAUUUUAAUCAUAACUAGAUCUGCAUUGUUAAAAAUUGGGGUAAAUAUACUUAAAAUGGGGUGAUUCUUAAUAGGUUUGUGUGGUUGCAACAUAAUGUUUUAAUUUUUGUGGAAACAAAUAAAUAGGUUUAACAAU